UGUGUUUUUUUUCUCUCUCUCUUAAUCAUUUCAAGAAUUACAUUUUUUAAAAGAAGGGAAAUCAAUGAUAUUUUGCAGUACUUUUAUUUGCAGUACUUUUAAUAAAAUGCUACAAUUUCAGAUCAUAAUUUUUAUCUCUGUAGAUACAUUUUUCAAGAACCUGGAAAGAAGAGAAAAGCUGUCACUGAUUAAAGCAAUACAACUCAGGAUAACAAAGCACCUUCAAAUUUACAAGCAUGGAAAAGAAAUUCUUUGCAGGGACAUGCAAAGAUUUCCUAGAUGACACACAGAUCCAUUUCCUUCUCUUGCAUCAUGCAGCCUCUAAAGUAUAUGCUUUCACCUAGAACAAGCGACUCCCUUUUUUUCACUGCUGGAGAACAGAUGAUAUUUCAAAAGAGUAUCUCUUGAGAACAUGCUGCUUUUGCCAAGAUCAUCACAACAUGAACUUUAUUGAUGCUUUAGGAGACUCCAAGGAAAGUCGGAAACAUACAACCCCUAAACAACUUGGUAAGCCCAAAUGGCGGAGGUUUCCAGAACUUCACUCAUGAGGAAGCCAGGUAAACGGGAAAUCUUCUAGCUUUCUCCUCCCCUUUGGAAUGCUUACCCUGGGGCUGGGAUAAUUAGUAAGAAGAGAAUUAAUAUUUGUAUACAUUCAUUGGAAAAGAUUACCUGGGAGUAACCAGAUACACAAUGCAGAAUAGACAUUGAAAGGAAUGUGGUAGCGUUCUUGAGACUGCAAAACGCCGGCCACUUAAGAGGCAAACAAAAGCCUUUAGCAUGAAACUAAUUAAGAGUCUUGUGUCAGACACAGCCUCAACUGGCCUGAAGGUUGUAAUCAACUAAUUAAGGCCACAGAGUUGAGCUUGUUAACCUAUGUGGUUAGCACUUUUUAGAGAUGUGCUGCAGCACAGAGGAAAGCAACUUAGGAACAGAUAAGGCAAUCUCUCGGCUCUGUGAAGAGUGAGAAGGGGAAAAAAGGAGUCAGGUACAAGACAACAGGUACUAAAAUGUGACUGAGAGAUGCUGCAAAGCCUAGGAAUUCUGGCACUGGUCACAAAGAUAAUGGUUGCUGCCUAAAGCAGUCCCUAAAUAACGUACAGGAAUCCAGCUGUUAUUAUCUGUAAACUAAGUUUUAUGGGUGGUUGUUAUUAAGUCACUAAAUUAUGUCCAAUUCUUCAUGAGCCCAUGGACCACAGCACACCAGGCCUCCUUGUCCUCCACUGUCUCCUGGAGUUUGCCCCAAAUGUUUUAUGGGUACUAUAUAUGAAUCUACCCAAUGAUGUACACCAUAUGUGAACAUAGCCUAUGAUGUACAAGAGGCAAUCUUAAUUGUUUUGAGAUUAGUAUGUUCUUACUAGACAUCUGAGGGGAUCUUCAAAUGAAAGCAUGAACUUUUAAUUCAAUCACAUCAGAAGACUUUAUCAUUUGUAGGGAGAGUUCCAUACAUCAAGCGCUUGGGUCAUUUUUGAUAUAGGUAAAUAAAGGUUUAUAUCUUGCUUAGGCCAAAAACACUAUUUGGUAUCUAAUUAUUUGUCAUUAGAUAUGAAGAUAAAGAAAACUACUGCCUGGCAAUUGUUUGCAUGUAUUAAUGUAGGAGUGCUGAUAACAUUAUCAUAAAGCUGUAGUGUCCAUAACGAAACUCAGUGAUGUCAAAAGGCUACAUGUGUCAUAAUGCAAUCCCACUAAGAAUACAAUUUCAUAAUUUGAAUAAUCUUGUCAUUUUCUCCCGUAUCACUCAAUUCUGGCCUAACUUCUUCUGCCAACAAAAAUGAAUAGAGAAUACAGGCACAUAUAACAGCUCUUUUUACACAAAUUAUUCCACAAACUUGGCAUUAAACUCUUUAUAAGGUUCAUAAGGGAAUAUCCAUAACUCUCAAUCUCACAACAAUCACUCGCAAAGCAGUGAAAAUGCUAAGCAAAUGUGCCUGGCUGCAAACUGGGUGGAAAAUUUAUUUCAAAGCCAAACUAACAUUUCAUUGGCCUACAAAUGUAUUGUUUUCACAUUAUAAUUGAGAAAGACUAUUAUCAGAUUUCACAAUAAGAGUUUAUAUCAGGCUCAAUAUUAGUGAGUUGCUUACUAAGCUGAAAUUCAUUCCACAGUCAAUUCAUUGAGUCAUCCAAUACUGGUUGACUCAAUUCCUAAUUUUUCAAUCAUUUUUAAGGAUAACUAGCUUAAUUCAUCAUAUCUGAGGAGAGUUUUUCUACAAUUAUAUUACAAUGCCACUUUUCCUGCCUAAAUUUAAACUACUUAAUUCUAAUUUGAUCAUCAUACCUGUACAGGUAAUUGUAUACUAAUAAUACCAUCAUAGAAAUCAAAACAAUACUCAAAAUGUUCAACAGUGGAAUGGAAAGGACAAAGCAAAGUAGCAUUUAGCAGUGUUUGCAGGAUUUGGCUGAUUUUGAUGUAAUGAAAAAAAAAACAGCUUCAGUGCUACAACCUCUGCCCCUUUGGGCUAUUCAAGCAAUGUCACAACAUAUAUAGAAAGGGGUGAGGCUUGCAUCACAACACCACAAUGCUGGGGGGUUUUUUGGUCUGAUCCGUUUUGCGUCUCCUGUGGGACAUCUAUGGUAUACCUGUAUUCCUUGAACUACUUCAGAGUAUUCUCUUCCUAGUUCUGAAUCUAUUCAGUUGCACUAGCCAAACAAAUAUCUUAUUUAUGAAUGAAGAGAUGUUAGCUGGGCUAUUCAAGAUUACAUUGAAACAAACAACAUCAUUAGAAGACUUUUAGAUGAAAGUGCACAGAAAAUAGGAACUUAAGUGAAAGGGCACUGAAGAUCUUAAUAGCUUUUGUUUCAGCACGCAAAAUAACCAGACCGGCAAAAUAACCAAACUUGUGUUAUUGAAACAGGCUGAAUGUUAUGCAAACUUUUAAAGAUUUUCUUUAAACAAAAACACUCCAGACACUGACAAAAUAUACCAACAUAUACAACUUGUGUAUUUCCCACUAUGAUGUUUAUUUAGCUAAUGGAUUGUGCAUAAUGGGAAGGAAAGCAUUAAAUGAUAUUUUAUUUCAGUA